UACGUAGGGUGCGAGCGUUGUCCGGAAUUACUGGGCGUAAAGAGCUCGUAGGUGGUUUGUCGCGUUGUCCGUGAAAACUCACAGCUCAACUGUGGGCGUGCGGGCGAUACGGGCAGACUGGAGUACUGCAGGGGAGACUGGAAUUCCUGGUGUAGCGGUGGAAUGCGCAGAUAUCAGGAGGAACACCGGUGGCGAAGGCGGGUCUCUGGGCAGUAACUGACGCUGAGGAGCGAAAGCGUGGGGGAGCGAACAGG
rnacentral:rRNA from 1 species